UGUUGGCUCCCAGAUGUGUCGAACACUGUAGAUCAGUGAGUCCAGUGUGAGCUGCCCUCCUUUCCUUCAGCUAGUACUAUGGAAAUGCCCUUCAGCCAGUUUCUUUAACGUCCUUAUUGGUCUGGGGGAGCAGCCCACUGGAUCAACAGUGAAAGCCUGUGGUUGUGAGGGGCAGCGGCCGGCUAUGAAUGUGUGUAACUUUGUAUGUGUGAAUUGGGGUGUUGAUGAAAGAGAGUGUGUGCUUGGCAAAUAUUCCCAGGAUAAAUUAAGGCAAAAAGUGUGAGUCUUUACUGAGAUCUAAAAAGAAAACAUUUGAUGUGGUGGCAGAUUUGUGCCUUUGAGGGUCGGAUUGAACCGGUCGCAGAAGAGAAACAUGGGAAUGGAUUUAGUUUGGAUCCUGUUUGGCUGGUGUUUCUUUGGUUGAACUGGUCCUGUUUGAUCCUUCAAAGAUAGAAAGAAAGAAGGUGUGACAUGAACUGAUGUCAAAGCAACAACUGAUUUUUCAACGGAUCAUUUUUAGUAGGGUCUUUUAAAAAAAUAAAACUAAAUGACUCUUAUUUACUUUGUUAUAACUUUCUUAUAUAUUUUGAUACAUGUGUAUAUGAGUCUUAGUAACUUUUUGUUGAUUCAUAAAUUGAAAAUAAAAUGUUCUUUUAAUAUGAUGCAAAAAAAUCUUUAAAUAAUAAUGCUUAUUACAAUAAAAAAAAAAAUCUAAAUUAGACUUCAUAUUCAGUAGGAGGGCAAGGUGUGUUGCCCAGAUGCUAAGCUAGAUCUGUUUUAGCCUAAAGACUAAACAUUUGUUAUAAAUGUUUUGGUUCACUAGUCAUUCAUUCUGUUUUGUACUGUAAUGGUCCACAGAGAUGGAGUUGCAGCGUGUAAACUCUAACAUAAUUCCGUUUUAAGCUAGUGAAGCUGUAUGAUUCCUGGCAGGAUGUGAUGAUUCUAUAUUCUGUUGGAUUGUCAGUUGUUGUCUGUUGUUGACAGUCCGUUCAUCCAUCCAUCAGGACGGUUAAAAACAAAUGCCAGACAGUAAAAUGGAAACAAGCCGUCUGAGAACUCCUCCAGUAUGAAAACAUGACGAACAUAUCACAUCACUGUGAGUAAACUCAGGGCCUCCCUCCUUCACCCUUUCCCUCUUGUGAGCUCUCUCCUCACCUUCCUGCCUCCCUGUCCCUCUCUCACACACUUCCCCAGACUCUGACUCUCACAGACGUGUGGUUUAUUCGUGUUUGUGACGUGUUUGUGACAGCAGGCUGUGUUUGCUGAGCAGCUUUCACUGCUGCUCCACCCAUCAACCCCUCUUAACCUUUAACCCCCACUGUCCCACCUGCCCACUCAAAUACCUGUUCAGACAAUCUUCAGACCCACAGCUUUGUUAGCUUUGUCUACUGCUGACGUCAAACGUCUCUCAAAUGACUCAAAUCACGUAUAUUAAACAAGUUUUAAUCACAAAUCUGGUGUUUUCCGUAUGAACGACUGAAACAGUGUGUAUCUUCCCUUCGCAUGAACUCAGAGAGUAUUUGGCCUGCCGUUUCCAUUACUUUUCUACGUUUCAGUGUUCCCUCCGAGCCAGCACAUUCAAAUAAAUUAAACAGCAUGUAGCUAGGAAGUUAAGGGGGAAAACAAACACAGAAAAUGAUGUAGGUUUGGUUCCCUAAUUGCCUAAAAUGAUGCAGUUUGGUCGGAACACCGUCUCACUAACUCCACUGGCAUGUUUUUCCUUUUUCAUCCAAAUUCUCCAAAUAUGAGUCCAGUUCCUCAUGAACCCAGAGUAGAAUUCUUCUGGCUUUUACUGUGACAAAUGCCCACAAUUUAUCACUCACUAUUAUAGAAACCAAGAAGUAAAUACCGACCAAUGUACAAACCCAGUCUCUAAUUCCUAUGGUAAGACCUUGCAGUUUAUUCCCUACCACUGCAUUACAAUAACAAGAGCCGCAGCUGGGAAAGGCCUUGCUUUUGGUGUGUUUACUAUGUGUGUGUGUGUGUGUGUGUGUAUCUGUAUCCCUGUGCGAUCUGUGUGUGUGGUUUGACUGAUGCCCACAUCCUUCCUGGGUAACAUAAUGGCCACCUAGAAGACACACUUCUAUUCCUCAAUUGCAUAGUUGCCUUCUCUUAUUCAUCAUUCCCACCAACAGUGAGGCAGCUGAAGGUUAUGACGUGGGCUGAGACACACAAGGUCACUUUAGUUUGUCUUCCUGCAUUUUUUUCUCAUGGUUACAUUCCUCUAUACAAACUGCCUCCUUCAUAUAGACUAUGAUUUGAGGUGAGCAAACCAGAAUGGUAUUUAACUUGUUCACACGAGGUGUAAAAAUUUAAAGAAAAACAGUGAAUAGGGAGAGGGGCUGUUUAACUUCCUCCUUUGUUACCCAGAAAUAAAUCAGUGCACCAUUUGACCUGGGAAUUGUCUAAUUCAAGGUUGUCUGCAGCAGGGCCAGGGCUAUAUCACAGACAGCACCAGCUGCCACAUGGGGCACCACCUUUUUGGUGGGGCAGAUGCCUGCAAAGAAAUAUGUAUGGGAGGUUGCCACGCAGUUGCUGUAAAAGGAAGAAAAAGCAUCAGUUUGAGUGUCAAAUGUUACUCUUCAUGGCCAGCAGUUCUUCUGUGUUGGGGCGGGAUGUUCGUAUCAUGGAUGUGGACGAAUUCUCCAGCAUCUUGUUGAAUCUGUGCCACAAAAUAAUUAUUUAUAAGAUAUACCUUUCAUAGUGACAAGUGUAGUAUAUGUUCUUAAUUGUUUUUAGGUCACUGCAGAUUCAAAAAACAGAGGUAGUGAUGGUGAAGUUAGGACUACCGUGUAAACACAGGAACAGGAGAUGAUGGGAAAGACAGGUUCCGUAAAUGAGCUUUUCUUUCCCAUCAUCUUCCAUUACUGUAUGUCUGUUUGUUUGUUUAAUGGAGCAGAAGCAGAAAAAAAAGUGAAAUAGUGAGUCUGUCUGUCUGUGUGUUUUUUUUUUUUUUUCACUGUUUUUCUCUUUGAAUCUGCAGGUGAGCGCAGCGGUUUCCCCUCAGCGUGGAACAUCCCGUUCACAUACCUGAGAGCUACUUCCCCUUCAGAAAAACACCAGCAGUUACCAGAAUAAACCACUAAAUCUACUUAACCCACACACCCACUUCUCUGCCCUGCAUGUUUUUCUGUUCAUGCGCCAACUGUCAUUCUCCCAGUGCCAGCUGUAACUCAUCUUUAUUUAUGACUUAUGAGAGGGAGGAAGGGGAGUACACACACCACAGAGAGGAGCCUUUAACAGCAAACACGCUGCAUUCCUCCUGCUAGUCCACAGCUGGACUCCAAAGUAAAGUUUACAUUCCUGGGUCCAUGGGAGGAAUGCUGCCCUCUGGGGCUCUGGAUCAGGUUUAAGGAUUACAAGGCCAGGAAUAAGGAUGGAGACUGGGGUAAUCACUCCCAAGGUCUUGAGAUGCUGGUCAGGAUUUUGUUCUUAGUAAGACACAACACACAAAUCCUGACAUUAGCUGUUGUUGUUUUUUAUGUAGAGGUCCAAGUGUAAUAAGGUACCAUGGGCAGGGUUUAAUGUCAUCCAGUGGUAAGGCAACAUUUUGCAGCUAUGUCGAUCCAACGUACAGAAGCAGCCUCUGUACAGAGGACACAUGAAAAAAGGCAAGAGAAGGAAAAGAAGGGAAAAUAGGAGAGAAAAGGAGUGUAGAAAUAAUAUCCAGUUUUGAUGAGGACAAAGCUUCUGCUAUAACCAUUUCAGCUAAAACAAUAAUGUUCACGUUAUACCCAUUACUACUGCAACUGAUGAGAGUCAUUAUUGGCUGAUCUGCAUCCAACAGCAGACAAAGAACCCAUUGUCUGGCUUAAGGGCACGUCUGCAAUUGAAGAGCCCGAAAAUGAGCAAACGGCCUCUUUGAAGAACCUGCAGAACUUUGAUUAAAGCUCAAAGCUUAUUGUUGUGGGAGUAUGACUACACCACAUUUUUUGAUCAUUUGUGAUUAAGAAGCUGGGAAAGCUGGUCCAGGAUUGUUUUCACACAAUAGGAUAUCGUGCAUGUAUAUGCUCAAUGUCAAUCCUGCAUGAAAAAAAAAACAUAAUUGAGAAUUAUUACAUAGUGGAAUAAUACAGUAAUAUUUUGAUGAUUAUCCUCGCAAUCCUGUACUGCCCCCUGCUGACUGCAAUUAGGUACCAAGUAAACUGCAUAUUUUAAAUCCGCCAGAAUAGUACUUAUGCAGUAUCACAUUUUCCACUGCCUUCAGGCAUACUACUUAAUUAAGUAAGCUAUAUAAUCAAUUAAUUAAUUAAUAAAAUGUUUUAUAUGCAAUUUAGUAAGCAAACAGUAGGAACAAAAUUGUAGAUGUAAGCAGUUUUCCAUUGACAUUAAAUACAACAGGGUUUGUGUGAGUUUUUUUGUUGUUGUUUGUUUAAGUUCCACUUGGUUAUUUGUCUUAAAUUAAAAAAAAAAAUCAUUAUCUGCCCAUAUCCUUAAUACUUAAAAAUACUGAGUAUUUGUUUGUGGUUUGUGUGAAUACUUUGUCCAAAACUAUACGUUGAUGAUUUUUCUCUAUUAGGAUGCCAACUAUAACAAGCACUGACAACCUGACUCUGCUGGACAAAAUGUUUUGAGCAGGUAAAAAGAUCUUCUGUACUUCAAACGCGUUUCCAUAAUGAAGGAGAUUCAUCCACCGGUGAGCAGCAGCUGUGAGUCCUGAUUCCUGUCUGCUACAAUUAUACAUCGUAUGGAGCUAUGUUUUUAUUAAAUGAAGCAGUAAAAUAAAUGUUGAGGAAAAUUACAUCAACUGAGAAACAAGCUCAUAAUUCCGCGAGUGUCCGUACAAAUCCCUGCACCACCUGCUCUGUGACAUUUCUGUUUGAAGGGAAAAUCAUGCUCCGCUCCCUGCAGCAACAGCACGUGUAACCAGCUCAACAUAUUUCCUGUCCCAUAUUUAUUUGACGUCCAGUUCAACCUGCCCUCUACCUGCUGAUUUAUUCACAACAGUGUCCAAAUCCUUCUUGCCUCUUUUUCCGUGCCAAGGAAAGCUUUACUUUCUGGCAUCACAGCCCUCCGUUACUUCCACAGCUCGCUCCAACAUCAACGGCAUCUGUUCCGACAUGAUUCUCACCUGCCCUGUGAUCUCACUCUCAUGUCCGUCUGAAAUGCACUCCCUUCUUUCUUAAUGGUUAACGAGGAGAUGAAGUAUGACGUGAGUUUUUUCAUGGAAAAUCACACAGUAGGCCUCCUGAGGUGUUCCACACGUGUCUGUUGUUGGCUCUGCUUUAGUUUUAGACUAAAGAGGUGGCGGUUACUGCUGGAUAUUGGAUUCGAUUAGGUCACCAUGAUUAUUGACGUGUUGACUGGUUGUGGCAACGAAGGGAGUGUUGAGGUUGAAUAACAGAAUGUAGGAUGCAACUGGUGAAAGUAGUUGAGAUUUAUGGCGAUUGAUGUGGAGGACAAAGAGCAGCAUGAGCUGAUUAGUCAACUUUUCUUUCUGGAGUUUGAGCUGCUGCUGCUGCUAACAAAUCACUGAUAAACAGAGGGAAAAUGAAACACCCAACAGUGUUACACUCAAUCAUUUUAUUGAGGAAUAUAAUAGUAUGAUAAUCAACCAAUCCUUUUUCAACAUGUUUCCAUUUCUGAUUCAUUCAGGAUACAGUCACAUCAGUAUCUACACAUCUGGACCAUCAUUUGUGGCAGUAAUGUCACCUUUCACCUUCUCUACAACUUGUCUUCUUCUUUUUUGCACUAGUUGCUUUUGAUCGUAAGACAAUUUAAAAAAAAUA